UUUCCUCUUUCCACCCACAACCUUCUCUUCCCGUUAUCACGCACACUGCUUCUCUGCAAGAACAGCUUAAACAAGUGUUGCAAUGGAGGGAACUGAGUCAACAACAAGAGAGAGAUCAACAGCAAAGGAUGGGAACAAGGCAGCAGACCAAGAGGUGCUGAUGUCCAGCAAACCGCUGCAUCGCUUCGUCCAAAGAGAGCCCAGAGAUGUUGGGAUUGCCAUUCUGAUCUUUGGCUGUGCCGAGGUCAUGAUGGGAUUUAC